UACGAAGGGGGCUAGCGUUGCUCGGAAUUACUGGGCGUAAAGCGUACGUAGGCGGAUCCUUAAGUCGGUGGUGAAAUCCUGAAGCUCAACUUCAGAACUGCCUUCGAUACUGGGGACCCUGAGUUCGGGAGAGGUGAGUGGAACUGCGAGUGUAGAGGUGAAAUUCGUAGAUAUUCGCAAGAACACCAGUGGCGAAGGCGGCUCACUGGCCCGAUACUGACGCUGAGGUACGAAAGCGUGGGGAGCAAACAGG
rnacentral:rRNA from 1 species